rnacentral:rRNA from 1 species
UACGUAGGGUGCAAGCGUUGUCCGGAUUUAUUGGGCGUAAAGAGCGUGUAGGCGGCUUGGUAGGUCUCGCGCAAAACCUGAGGCUCAACCUCAGUUCGCGUGGGAAACCACCUAGCUAGAGUCCGGAAGAGGAGAACGGAAUUCCCAGUGUAGCGGUGAAAUGCGCAGAUAUUGGGAAGAACACCAGUGGCGAAGGCGGCUCACUGGGCCGGUACUGACGCUGAGGUGCGAAAGCGUGGGGAGCAAGCAACGGAGUAGAAUCCUAGACCUCAGCAGCAACAAGUCUCGCGUAACCCGGUAA